rnacentral:lncRNA from 1 species
GUAACGACCCAAAAAUCAAGGGUAAAAUUUUUAUUUUUAUUAUAGUAAAAACACAGAUAUCUUCUAAAUCCAAACAUUCCAGAAACAUGAUUAAUUAAAAUAUUUAUCAUAGUUCGUCCCAAAUUCAUAAGUUGCGGCACACGGGUGUGUGUGCACUGCGAUCAAGUCGGACCCUUCAUUUCCAAACCAAUGAUACCUGAAACAAUAAACAAAACUGUAAGCACGAAGUUUAGUGAGUUCCCCAGAGCAUACCCCCCACAAUCCACAUAACCACAUAAUCCAUAUUAGCUAUAACAGCUACAUAAACCAUAUCAAUCACAUAAGCCAUACCAAUCACGUAAGCCAUAUCAAUCAUGAUAAUUACACAUACCAUAUUAGCUAUAAAAGCUACACAAACCACAUAAGCCAUGCAUAUAACAUAUAGGGAUGCUGUGGGCUCCCCCAGGGUCUUACUCCAGGAUGCCAUGGGCUUCCCACAUGGUCUUACACCUAAGUGUCAUGGGCUCCCCCAUGGUCUUUAAUAGGAAAGCCAUGGGCUCUCCACAUGGUCUUACAUCCAAGUGUUAUGGGCUCCCAACAUGGUCUUCAAUAGGAAAGCCAUGGCUCCCCACAUGGUCUUCCAUACAAGUAUAACACAUAUACAACUAUCAUACCUCUUAGCACAUAACUGGAUAACAUGCCACAUAACACUAUAUCAACUAGUGUACUAUAUAUCACAAAAUCGGCCGGCCUUGGUGCCUUAGACCCAUUAGUAUGGUGAGGAGACUCACCUUGCACCGCCGAAGUCCCGCGGAUAAAUCCCUGACUGCUGGCUGGCCGAUCCUCGUACUGUGAAUCAUCAAGACAAAACCCAAUUAACCAUUUGGGUUUCAAUACAUAACCAUAAAUCUACACUUAGAGUAAAUGGACCAUUUUACCGCUAACCCAGCUUGGUUUAAAACCAAGGCCCAAACUCACACUUUGAAGGCCCAAAUGCCCAAUAAUCAACCAAGGCCCAAUAUAUGGCCCAAUUUUCCAAAUUGGGCCCAAACCUCUACAUGGACUUAUCUUAAGGCCCAAUCAUUUAUUACAUAUUUCCAAAAUUAGGGUUUUCUAAACCCUAAUUAGGAUUUUUAACUCAAUCGUGUGCCCAUUAGACCAUUAGUUAGGUUUUUAGAUCCAUUUGUGUUACAUAAGUUGGGCACCACCCACUACCACCUCGGGUAGUGGUGGUUAUGGUACGCGGCGACAGCCACCACCUCGUGGUGGUGGUGGUGGUUGUGUUUUUAGGUCAAACAAUACCAAAAGUACUCCAAAUAAUAGUCCAAACGCACCCAAAUGCACACCACCACAGGAGAUGGUGGCUAAUGGUGGCAGAAUGGCGACAGUGGGUGACAGUCACCACCUCACGAUGGAGGUGGAGGGCCUUUCUUGGUUUCCAGCCGAGCAAACCCACAAAUACACUCACAAAUACAAUCUGAACACGUAAACACAUCCAACUUAGCCACAUUGGGUGGCAGAAGACGACCAGAAGCAUAGGAACGACGACCUAAGGCCACCGGUGACCACAGCCGACGUUCAUGACGUCGUAUUCACAGCAAAGAACAAAAGAGAGAGGAAGUAGAUUUGCGGUUGGACUUACCGAGCGCUUCCGGUGGCUCCCGACUCACGCAGGACGAACACAACAUGCCCCACAUUCCUCUGCGGUUCUUUUAUUGCCCAUGGCGUCUCCGGCAGUCGAGGUUGUUGCGGCGACGAUCAUCGGCGAGAUAGCUGGCGGAAAAAGGUGGCGGCCGGGCUUGGUGAUGCAAGCAGCGGCUGAGGAGUCUUCACCUUGGUGGCGGCUGAUGAAAGAGAUACACUAGGGUUAGGUUUACCCGACGUCGCCUCUUGAAGAAGGAAGGAAAUGAGCACCGGGUCUAAAACCUGUGUUCUUUACAAACUUCAAUCCGAUUUUUACAAGUUUAGCUCCUAUUCCAUCAAAACUUCUCAAUAUAACUCCCAUAUUUACCAUUCAGC